rnacentral:rRNA from 1 species
GUCCUUUGCGGGCGUUUGAAAAAUGUGGCGUUUAGGAGGUCGUGUGCCGGAGUCGGGCUGUGCAGCAAGUCCCCCUGACCGGGGCUGUUACCCAGAGUGGGUGCGAGGCCCAUAGCUGCUGUGCCCUCUUCGGAUGUGACCUCUUGGGAGUCAGGUUGCUUGGGAGUGCAACCCUAAGUGGGUGGUAAACUCCACCUAAGACUAAAUACAGCCGUGAGACCGAUAGCAAACAAGUACCGUGAGGGAAAGUUGCAAAGAACUUUGAAGAGAGAGUUCAAGAGUACGUGAAACUGCUCAGAGGCAAACGGGCGGGCCCUCGAAAUCCUGUGGCAGGGGGAUUCAGUUCGGAAAAGCUGAGGUGGUGUGUGGUAUGAACGGACCCUGAGUGGGGACGGGCCACUGCCAUGGUCUUGGCUUGACCUUACGCAUUUCCUCCUGCAUAAGGACGCCGCAUCCGGUUGGAUAGCUGCGUGAGUCGGCCAUGAGGACAAGCAACGGAAGGUGGCCGGCGGCAUUGCCCAUUGCCGCCGGUUGUUAGCCAGUUUGUCCGUGGCGCGACAUCCGACCGAGGUUAACGUGUUCCCUCCUGGGAACUGGCCGUCUCCUUCGAAGCGGAUGCUGGCAAGUGUUGCACGGCGGUGCUUCUUCACUCCUGUAGUGUGUUGUGCUCCGUGCUCCCUGGUGGGGUGCAACGGCUAGCGGCGAGUGAGUCGGUCACCCACCUGACCCGUCUUGAAACACGGACCAAGGAGUCUAACAUGUGCGCGAGUCACGGGGUCUUGGAUAGGCCCGGAGGCGCAAUGAAAGUGAAGGCCGAUCUCGAGUCGGCUGUGUUGGGACCUCUCUACCUACGUGGUGGGAGUGCACCAACGAUCCGUCCUAUCCGAUUUAUCGGUUGGCUGGAAUCGGAGCGCAUACGUUGGGACCCGAAAGAUGGUGAACUAUGCCUGGGCAGGAUGAAGCCAGAGGAAAC